rnacentral:tRNA from 1 species
GGGACUGUAGCGUAAUCUGGAUUAGCGCGAGAGAUUCCUAAUCUCUAGAUUAUGGGUUCAAGAAUGAAAAUCCCAUCAGUCCCG